AUGGUUUUGGGCCCCAAGAGACUCGGAAGAUCAUCAGUGAAGAUAGCCUUUUUGCAAGGUCAGAAAAGUUCAAUGCCCGAUCUGCAAGUUUGGAAAGUUAAUUGACCUCUCUGUGGUUUCUUUAUAGUUUAAGGAUCAAGUUGUAGUUUUUGGAAAUUGGAUGACUGAUCUAACAUAAGUAUAAUAUCCAGGGACUGGUUUUUGCCAAGCUGGGAAGUGAAAGGACGAUUCUGCCCCUGUAAGUUUCAGAUUGUUACAAAGGAGUAAUUUGAGGAUAACUCGAUAGUUUGAGCUCUAAAAGACGCACGGUCAAAGGCUACGGAUUUGUGGCAGCGAGAGGAAUAAUGUCAAGUCAGAAUAAGAUAUGUAAACUCUUCAUAAGAGAGGUGAGGUCUAGGAUUACUUUUCUACUUUAAGCGUAGAAUUGUAAUUAGGUGGUCAGGAAUCCAUUGAAUGAUUCUCAGAACUGUACAGUAGUGUGUGAUCUACUGUACAUGUGGUUUAUUUUAGAUCAGUACUCUUAGGUUGUAUAGUAGCGUGUGAUCUACUGUAUAAAUAGUUAUUUUAUUUCUAG
rnacentral:lncRNA from 1 species